rnacentral:rRNA from 1 species
UAGGGAAUAUUGGACAAUGGGGGCAACCCUGAUGCAGCGACGCCGCGUGAGCGAUGAAGCCCUUCGGGGCGUAAAGCUCUUUCGACCGGAACGAUAAUGACGGUACCGGGAGAAGAAGCUGCGGCUAACUACGUGCCAGCAGCCGCGGUAAUACGUAGGCAGCAAGCGUUGUUCGGAGUUACUGGGCGUAAAGAGUGCGUAGGCGGUUUUCUAAGUUCGGUGUGAAAUCUCCCGGCUUAACUGGGAGGGUGCGCCGAAGACUGGGAAGCUGGAGCGUGGGAAAGGCAGGCGGAAUUCCUGGUGUAGCGGUGAAAUGCGUAGAUAUCAGGAGGAACACCGGCGGUGUAGACGGCUUGCUAGGCCAUAACUGACGCUGAGGCACGAAAGCGUGGGUAGCAAACA